AUUGAAUGCUGGCGGCAUGCCUUACACAUGCAAGUCGAACGGUAACGCGGGGCAACCUGGCGACGAGUGGCGAACGGGUGAGUAAUAUAUCGGAACGUGCCCAAUAGUGGGGGAUAGCCCGGCGAAAGCCGGAUUAAUACCGCAUACGACCUACGGGUGAAAGCGGGGGACUCGCAAGAGCCUCGCGCUAUUGGAGCGGCCGAUGUCAGAUUAGGUAGUUGGUGGGGUAAAAGCCUACCAAGCCGACGAUCUGUAGCUGGUCUGAGAGGACGACCAGCCACACUGGGACUGAGACACGGCCCAGACUCCUACGGGAGGCAGCAGUGGGGAAUUUUGGACAAUGGGCGCAAGCCUGAUCCAGCCAUGCCGCGUGCGGGAAGAAGGCCUUCGGUUGUAAACCGCUUUUGUCAGGAGAAACGCUCUGGCUAAUACCCUGGGUAAUGACGGUACCUGAAGAAUAAGCACCGGCUAACUACGUGCCAGCAGCCGCGGUAAGAGUACUA
rnacentral:rRNA from 1 species